GCAUCGGCAGGCGGACUCUCAACCACUGCGCCACCAGGGAAGCCCCUCAAGUUGGGUGAUUUCCAUUACCCUGUCUUCCAGAUUGCUGACUCAUUCCUCUGCAUCCUCUAAACAAGGGGUCCCCAACCCCCGGGCCAUCCAUAGCCUGUUAGGAACUGGGCCACACAGCAGGAGUAGGCCAAAAAACCGGAGCUGGCCAGAGGGACACCGCAAACACGGAUAAACCUGGAAACCAGUACGCUAAGUGAAAGGAGCCGGACACAGAAGACCACAUAUUGUUCAUCCCAUUUAUAUGAAAUUUCUGCAAAGAGGAGAUGCUAUGGAUAUGGAAAGCAGAUCAGCGGUUUCCUAGAGGCUGCUGGGAACAGGGAUUGAGUAUAAAAGAGCAGGAGGAAAAUUUCCAGGGUGAUGGAGUUGUCCUAAAACUGUAUUAUGGUGAUGGCUGCAUCGCUGUCACAUCUCAAUUUCGACCAGCUGCAUUUUCAAGUGCUGGAAAGCCACAGGUGGCUAUUGCCUUGGACAACUCAGGCCUAGAGGCAUCCUGUGGAUCAUGCAGAGACUUCAGAUUGUUUGAGGAGAGAAUGGUUUUCAUGCAGACUUCCACUGCUAAUUAAACAAGCAAACAAGGAAAGGUAUAUGUUGGAUUGUAUAAAACCCUACUCAUCUCUGUGAUCCUCAGUUUUUAAAAAAUUAAUUUUUCAUAUGGUCCUGAAGAAUUUUUUUAAUGUACUCAGGGAGUUUCAUUUUCAGGUCUUGGCAGUUAAAUCUCUAUGGUCAGCACACAUGGCAGUGUUUAAAAUUAACAUUGCAAAGGAGGCAUUUUGAGACUAGGAAUUAUGAAGCAAGGAUUUUAGUUAAGAUUAAAGGUAUGUCCUUUAUCAGGAAACUGCAUUCUGGCCUUGCAAGGGAACAGCUGUGAUGAUCUACAGUAAUAAGUCUGAUUAUUGUAGUUAUCGAACUCUAAAUAUCAGCCAUCUAGAAAUGACGGCAUCACAGACCAUCUCAACCUACAGGUUGAAAGGGUCUCAGGUGGGCUUUUUUAGCUUGGCUUGAUUAGGGGUGAGAUAGAGGUUGUCCAGUUUGGGAUAAUACAACCAGUUAAAGUACUGUCAAGAUUCUUACAAUAUAUAUUCAUUGAUGGGUUCUAGUCUGCUGUCUCAUUACAGGAGAAUCUGAUUAAUUCUACAAUAUUCGCUGUCCAACUUUGACAAUUCUACUCGGAUCUAACUACCCAGCUCUCUUGUGGAAAUAAAAAUUAUUCUGCUGCUGGAGCACCUGAAAAAAUAUUUCUUUUCCCAGAAACACAAGAACUACAUUUUCUCUGUCAACUCAGAGAUCCAAAUAAGAAUAAAGCAACCUCAUAAA